rnacentral:antisense_RNA from 1 species
CUUCAACGAGCCCAGCAGCAGCGGCUGUUCGGCCGGUCGGUCCUGCCCGUACGUGGCGAGCAGCGCCUGCGCCUC